UCUCUCUCUCUCUCUCUCCCUCAAGAUCUCUCUCUGGUUUUGGCAUGAGAUCAGCUCUCUCUCUCUCGCUCUCGCUCUCUUUCUCUCUGUGACUGUAUUUCUUUCUGUGUGUUCUUGUUUCUGAUGGCUUUCACUUAGUCAGAUGCUUUUGCUUCUCAUUUCUCUAAUUUCCGGGAGCUAUGUUUUUGUCAGGGUUCGGGCCGAUUUAGAUCUAAAAGGAGAUGUGAUUCUUCUCCUGAAAAUUUUGAGUUUUCGAUUUCUUUUCCCUGAUUUUUGCUUUGGGAAUUUGCGAGGUUUGGCCAGAAGAUGAGCCAAGAAAAGUUCCAACAGAGUCCCUUUCUUCCCGUUAAUUUUAUAUCUUUUCUUUUGGGUCAAUCCGGGGUAGUUCUUACUCCUGGGUGCUGUUUAUUAAUUUUAUGUGAUUUAUUAAAUAUAUAGUACGAGGAUUUACUGUUUUAAAUAUAUGCGAUAUAGAGUUCAACAUGGCAGAGUCUCUCUGGGGUGCUCUUUACGUAAGACCCUUUUCCAUUGUUUCUUCAGUGUUGGUCAAAGCCAACAGGCUAACGCGUGUUCCUUCGUUUUCUUUGGCCCCUUUGUGUUUUGAAGAUUUUCCAGCAUAUAUAGACAUAUCGAAUGCUUCUUCAGCAUUUCUCUUAUGUUCCUUAGAAAUCCAGAUAUUACUGCAAGCGUGGGUUGAUAUAUGGAUUAGUACGCCUUUAUAGUCGUCGGUUGCAGGUGUAGCAUCAUCAAGAUUCACAGGCGAAAAUGGACGGCGGUGAUUGGAUUGCCCUUUGCCGAAAGUCCAUCUGAAAUUGAGAAUCUUGAUGAUGCUGCAUCAGCAAUAAACGACUCUACGCGACAAUCUCGAUGUCCCUUUUCUUUGUUAUUCUGUUGCCUUAAGGUGGGUUAAGAUUAAAUUUGUUUUCCCUGAUAUUUAUUUAUUAAAAGAUGCCUAUAGAUUCUAUUUGCACUUUGCAAAAGGAGUAUGAGAUUCAGAUCGGAGCUGCUUAAAGAUACUGAGAAUACUAACUGCCUUCAAAGCUUUGUGGUUUUUUUGACUGCGCAGAUCUACAGUUGAGUUUCCUCCAAAGAAAUAUGUGAAACCUACUAUAUGUGAAAAAAAAAGGCUUAUGUAUCACAAGUUGCAUGAAGGCAUAAAGUUGGGAUGUUGCAGAGAGUGAAAGAGAGAGAGAGAGAGAGAGAGAGAGAGAGAGGAGUAACAGAAGCUGGGAACUGAUGAGAUUUGCCGCAUGAAAUAUGUUCACCAUGCUCAGGAAAGUGUAAAUUCCCUUCAAUCUCGUAGAUUUCUACUUUUGAUUCUAAUUUUUUCUCUGGCAUGUUUGGCCAGUAUAUAAGAUUGAUUCUUUGCUUCUUUUGGUUAUUUGUCUGUUGGUCAGACAUACGCUGGGGUAUUUUGUUUCUCCUCAGUUUGUUUGGUUCAUUAGCAGCUUAAGAUGAGUACAAUUUGUUUGUUUGAGUACGGAGGCCAACAUAAAAAUGUUCAUUUGGGUCUUUUGCGAUCUUCAUCAAUAGAUUUUAGAAAGUUUUAUCUUGUAUGAAACAUCAAUGGGUGGUUCAAAUUUCAUGAAACAACGAUGGAACAUCUAAUUAGGAUCAAAUGUGUUAGCAUGUUCAUACAUAAGUUACAAAAGAUCAUAUUGCUUGUCAUAGAAUUUCAUCGAGUUUCCUGUCGAAUUUGAUGGAACCACAUUUCCUUAAAUCUAACCAGUUGACCAUGUCCGAGAAAAUAUACAUAAGCUCAUCACUGAAAGUGCUCUAACUUUCCUACCACUUCUGUCUUGACUUAGAUAUGAAUCAAACUGUAUGAUCUUUUCCUGAUUAUUUGUCAAACUAUAUCUUCUCAGCAAAAAAUGGCCAACUAAAAUGCCAGUGAGAACUCCGCAAAUGUUUUUGUGGCUCAGAAAUUAGUGCAUCUUUGAAAUCAGGAACUGGUUUUUUCUUCUGACCUAUGAUGUGCCAUUCAAGGUGGGAGGAUGUCCAAAAUUUGUCACUGCCACAUUUUGCUUUUGCUAAUAUCUGCACAAAAAUCGACCUAUCAAUCUCAUUGGUGUGGGCCCAAUCGAAACAGUUCACAAAAACUUCUUUUCACCUCUGCAAUUGAAAUGGUACUAGAAAGUAUUUCAAAAUAUCUCCCAUUUUCUGGUUCAUCCAUCAUGACAGCGACAAAACCAGACAACUCAAUUGAAUUUAUGGAAAUCCGUGUGCCUGAAUCGCCUUACCAAUCUGGGAACACAUUGUGACCAGUCCUAUAAUAAGUUAGGUUUAUGUUUCCUGAUAAAGAAACUUCUUUUAGAUAAUUACCUUCGUUGACUAGAUGUACAAGCCUAAGGACAGCUCAUACAUUGUCAAAUUUUAUCCUAAAGUCAAGAGAUGCUAUAUAUGGUGCAAAGGGAAUUUACUUUAUGACGUGUGAUUUUUCAGGAGCUAUGGAGAAGGGAUGGAUCCAGCGUAAGCAAAGAUAUAUUGGUCAGGUAUGGCUUUACCUAAUCAAGAAACAAGAGGAUCAAGGGACGUGGCAUUCGCGAGUGUCAGAAUGCAUUGCGUAACGAAGACAUUUUGAUUCUAUUCCUUUUGCAACUUCGUAAAGUUUUCAAACUCUCAUAUAUGUUCUCCUUCAGGUGAGCCUUAUAGCAUUCAAUGUAAGUCAUCAUCAGGUCGAACCUUUUUUUCUUUUUAACCAUGGGUACGAGCCCAAAGGACCAACUACCUGAAUGUCCAUGGGUACACCCUGUAAGUGCCAUGAAAUGUUGAUUAAAAUGGAACAUUGUGUGAAUACUGCCAAUCUUUGUAGGUUGGAUAUACAUCUCAAGAAUGGUUGUCAAUACUUUUGCACAAACCAGCUAAAGAUUAUCUCUCCCGACGUUCUUCUUCAAUAUAAUCAAGCAUAAUUUUAUGACAUUCCUAGGGCAGUGUAAGAUAUAUUAGUCUCUGUGUGUGAUCCGCCCUUUCAAAGAUAAGCCGGGUGGGAUUUGCCAAGAUUGAGUUGAAGAGUCACAAUCCUUUAAUUGUUUUCCCCUUCAUACUCACCCGUUUUCCGUGUGUUACUAAACGUAAAGUGUUUAUGCUUCUCUUUUAACCUCCAUUGACGGUAAUCUUCUGCAAGAUUUGCAAGAUUUUCUGUUCCCAGUGUAUCCGACUUCAUGGCCAUUGCUUUGGAUGCUUGUCCUAUUAGACUUCGAAGAUGAACUUCUUUUCAACUGGUGCAAAAUUCAUAUGGGAUCUCUAGUCCAAUAUUCUUCUGUUACCCUUCUUUUUUUUCGCUAUGCGUGAUCCACGCGUAUAGGAUCCGAUUAUACUCAUCAUCUGUGCGUUAGACAGCUUUUGCAGCAGACAGAAAACUUAUUACUUGUCUGAAGAGCUCAGCUAGAAGAGAUGUCCAUAAGACAGGUUGUGACUUUGUGAAACAUAGUCGGAUGUCCAUGUAUAAAUGUAAUCCCUACAUGAAAUGAAAAUUCUUUAUAUGACUCUUUCAUGA